UACAGAGGGUGCGAGCGUUGUCCGGAAUCACUGGGCGUAAAGGGCGCGUAGGUGGUGGCUUAAGCGUGCGGUGAAAGCUCGGGGCUCAACCCCGAGUCGGCCGUGCGAACUGGGCUCACUGGAGCAUAGUAGAGGCAGGUGGAAUUCCGGGUGUAGCGGUGGAAUGCGUAGAGAUCCGGAAGAACACCGGUGGCGAAGGCGGCCUGCUGGGCUAUGGCUGACACUGAGGCGCGACAGCGUGGGGAGCAAACGGG
rnacentral:rRNA from 1 species